rnacentral:misc_RNA from 1 species
GAAAAAAAAAUUUUCCUAAACGACUCGUCGUGUGUCGUUAAAAAAUCUCAUAAAUGCAAAAAUUUUCAUACGCAUUCGCAGAGAAGCAGAGGAAAAAGAAAUGUCAGGCCUACCAGACGAGCUAUGGAGGCAAAUCCUGGAAAUCGGAAUCCGAAACUCCAAAUUCAGCUACAAAGAUCUCUGUUGCAUCUCUAUCUCCUGCAGACGUCUCCACCGAUUAUCCAGUGAGGACUCGCUCUGGUCUUACCUCCUCUUUUCAGACUUCCCUUCACCAUCCCAGCAACAAAACCCUAACAGCAACCACCGCAGUUCAACUUCACCAUCUGCCAAAUCUACCUACAGAAUCAAGUUUGAGAGGGAGAAGGACAGGAAGGUGGCGGCACAUAGGAGGGCGGUGCUUAGAAAAGAAAGUGAAAUUGUGGAGCGCAAGAGGAAGAUAAGGGAAAUAGAGACCCGAUUGCGUCUAGAGACUGAGAAAAUGACAGCAGCCUCUAUCGAAUUGUCCAAUUUACACAAGGUCAGGCAAGCUUCUGUGGCUUUGAAUGUGUGGCAGCCAGAGGUAGUCAGGGGUAGACAAAAGGAAAUAGUGGAGGUGUAGUUUCUGUUGAAUCUCGAGUUCAUUCACUUGAGAUGGAGCUUAAGCUUUGCAAGCAACAAAU